GGAAGACGCUACGCCUAGCAAAAACUGCUAACUUAUUGCUACUGAGGUGUAACUCCUCAGGUCCCCCG
rnacentral:tRNA from 1 species